AACCCACAUGGACAAGAACUUUCCGGAACAGCUGUGUGUGGGCCAGCUGCUGACAGCAAGGCCGUCCCAGGCUUGAUGGAGUCACCUGGCAUGUGACUCCAGGUCCUGCCACCUCAGCAGGGCUGCCUCAGAGGCCCUCCAAAGGUGCCCAGCCCAAAGGACCUGCUCCCCGAAGGAGGCCAGUGGCCCCAGAGCUCCUUGCAGUGAGGAGACAGCCAACGGCUAAUAGGGUCCUGCUUCACACACAACAUUCCUGGCUGAAGUGGCCGUAUGCGGUCAGUGAAGAGGGUCAGCUGGUGCGUCCACAGAAAAGCCACAUGUGUCACAACCCGUUCCACAAGAAUCCUCCACGAGGGCACCCCGAGGCACCCAGGAGCCGCAACCCAGCAGGGGAGCGCCCUGGCCACCGGCCAGCCUGAGCCCCACCACAGCCCCAUGAGCAUGCUAUCAUGACUAACCUCAUGUUACAGAUAGGGAAACUGAGGCACAGAGGGAUUAAGCGAUGGCUUAAGAUUUCAACAGAGUGGGCGCAGGGAGGCCCAUGUGGAGCCCACACUCCUCUCCGUCCAGUAUAUCUGGACUGUAGAACAGCGGUGCCCCUGCUGAGCCAGGGGGAGGGGACGUCAGCUUAGUCCCGGGAUAUCGGUAUACUAUUUAACAGGGUCUUCUCCUUCACCUCAAAGAUCCUGAACAAUUUCAGGGAAACUUAAAACACUAAAAAUAUGUGAAAUCAUAGCUCUGAUCAAGUUUAUUUUCUAAAGGCAGACGAAUGCACGGCAAACUCUGUAUCAUAAACCACUGUAUUUCAAAUCACUGUAUAUCACAGAGCGUGCCAGACCCAGCAGUGACCCCAACAUAAACACGGUCUCGGGUGUCCAGGCUUGCUGACCCACGGCACCUCCCACACGCGCCCUCUAGUUACAGGGAUGGCGAACACCGCCCCUGUCCAGCGCAUGCGUUCCUUCUGUCCCACAAUGUUUUCUUCCUUAACCCACUCACAUGGAAACCCAACAGCCCUGCUUGGAAAUGCCAGGGAGAUGUUUUCAUCUACCAGGUGCAGAUGAAGCAGGACAUUUAACGAGAAGGCGCACCCUUGGCCGUCAACAAACGCCUGGCUCCAGGCUUAGGGCGGGGGCACCGUGGUUUCUGCUCUGUGCUCAGACGUGCAAAUCGGGGGCACAUUUCCGGGGUUUUAGUUGUUUGUUUCUCAUUUUGGUUUCUCUGGACCAAAACCACAUCUCAAGUAUCAACCCCAAUCCCUUUUGGAGUGACCAAGGUAGAAACAACGACCGUUUCCACUCCGUAGGAUGAGGAAUGAGGGGGCAGAGGCGACGCUGUCCCUCCCACCCAGGCCCCUCGUGGGGAGAAGCUGAGGACUGUGUGACACAGCUGUGCCGUGUGGAGAACUGGAAGCCAGCUGCCAUGGCAGACAGGCGCAGGUCCCUAGAUGCCAAGAUGCUACUGUCCUGAUGCAGCACCAGCGGCUUCGGGGCACAUGAAAGGGACAGAGAGAUGACAUCAGACACCAGGAAGAGGUCCACGGCGGCCCCAUUGAUGCCGUGCCGCUCGCAGAGCCCGCACAGGACCUCCUUGAUGGACAGCCCCG